AUACGGAGGGGGCUAGCGUUGUUCGGAAUUACUGGGCGUAAAGCGCACGUAGGCGGACGGAGCAGUCAGAGGUGAAAUCCCAGGGCUCAACCUUGGAACUGCCUUUGAAACUUUCUGUCUUGAGGUCGAGAGAGGUGAGUGGAAUUCCGAGUGUAGAGGUGAAAUUCGUAGAUAUUCGGAGGAACACCAGUGGCGAAGGCGGCUCACUGGCUCGAUACUGACGCUGAGGUGCGAAAGCGUGGGGAGC
rnacentral:rRNA from 1 species